CAGCUAUGGUGAACUUGUAAUCUAAACAAAACCCGAGUCUAAAAGGUUCCCUAAGGGCUCUAUAUAUGAGGGAAUAGAGAGGCAAUUUUGUGGCCCUUGGAGGAGGGGUCCGAAAACAGCCCUAAACUGACUCUAAAAAUAGCCUAUAUUAUUGUAUUUCGAAAUUACAUGGGCCUGGCCCAAAAAUAUGGUGGCGCAACACUUAUAAUAGCAUAUGGAUGAAAUUUAUAAAGUGAUGUCUUGAAUAUUUUGUCCAAAGCAUUCAUGCUCUCCUUAUGGUGGCUUUAAAGUGCGAAAAUCACUAGUGGAAGCUCCAUUGUUCUCUCCCGCGCGUGCACCUUCUUCUCCAUGCUUGAUCCCGCUCCAACGGAUAUCCUUCUUGUCCAUGCUAG
rnacentral:lncRNA from 1 species